GCAGAAAGGAGAGAGAGGCCGACUGCUCAGGCUAAACUCAGACUUACCUUCCUGAUUUCCUGGGCAUUUGCGGAGAGAUGGAAGCACCGUUUGUCCCGUGGAUAGCCUUGCUCGCAUCUGCUAGCCUGGGUUUGUGAGGGUAUGUGAGGAACAGACCCAGGAACCUCGGCUGCAAGCUUCUUAGCCCCUCGGAAUGUCAGAGUCUGGUAAAAGAGACAGAUUGCCACCACCAAACCCACCAAGAAAGGUCGGGGGCAAAAUCGCCGGCGACAAAGGAACCCCGGUCGACAGACCAUGACCAGUCCACCUUCACUUGGCCCCUGGCCACGCUGUCAGCAUGGAAAAAGUACACAUCUGUCUUCUUUUUGCACAACUCCAAUCAAAUUCGCCCCAACUCCCCUUGAGAACAUUCCGAAGGUUCAUGCCAAAGACUCACACAGGUCCCAGCGGUCCGAGGUGUUUAGAGCCCUUUCGUGAAGGACAGUAAAAAGUGACCGACUUGCUUAUUCUUUUUUUAAGAUGUCAAAAUAAUGAGAGUCGUAAAGAAAUCAUCCGAAUGCAUCCCGGGCUGCCAGAAUUUUUUUUCCCAUGACUGCUGAUCAAAAUCUCUUGGAAGGAAACACCCAGGCGUAGGACUCCACCUCAUUUCACUCACACGCACGGACACACACGCGCAGACACGCGGAGACACGCGCGCGCCAGCUGCCCACAGGGCCGAGAGCCGGGGGACCUGGGCCAUCGCUGCCACCCAGGCCGAGCGGGGCGGAGCUAAGCCCAGGACUCCUCUGGCCUUGGGGGCAGUCCGAGCCGCGCUGUCAGCUCUGCAGCAGCAAACGAAUCCAACGGAGAAGACAGCCAAUAAAAUAAUACUGGGAAAAAAGAAGGAGUUAGUUAGUCAGAACAAGAAUGUGGCAAAGAAAACAUAGGGCCAAAUGGGAUGAGAGUCCAGGACCACUCAGGCAUUAGAGGAGACCCACUGUGGACAGAAAUCAUCAUGUUCACCGUUUACCAGCUGUUCUGAAAGAGGAGUUUGGAAUAGCGAAGUCCAGUCUAUCACCUGUGAGAUGACCUCUUUGGAAGUAUCGUUGACCAGAGGACAGAGACACUCACUGAAAAUACGAGUGAACACGCGGGACAAGGCAAGAGGAUACAUCCGGAAACCACCUUUCUUUGGAAGACGGGAAAAAGUCACCAGACCGCACUUUUAUAGACAGGCUCCAGGCUUUUACCUGAUUACAGAUGCAAUAUCGCGGUUCAUUUGGGUCAUAUGUCCAGUCAACCUGACUGUUGGAAUCAGAUUCGGGCACUACUGUUGUUUGCUGGGAGACUUCUUGGACUACAGUUGAAGAUGAUGAACAUAAAGAUAAGGACGAAGAGGAGGAGGAGGAGGAGGACUGCUGGCUUGAAGACUUGGUGUUGUUUCUGGAAAAAAAUUAGAGAAAGAUCAGUUUUAUUUGCUCAUUACAAAAGGUCCCCUAAGAGUGACUCCUAGUAAUUGACAUGAAAGGAAAGGACGCAUCAAUGCCUGAUGCUAAAGAAUCUCAUUCAGAAGCAAUUUCCCAGAACAAAGAAAAGCAACAUUGUUUUCAAUAGUUAUUUACAAGUUUUGAUUUCUGGAGAAUAAAAGUAUUGAGAAGAAAAUUCUUUAAAAAAAAUCUAUUUAGAGUAAAUAAAAGAAAAUUCUUUUAAAAUGUUUUCAACUUGUAAAAAUAAUUUCUAAAUUAGUUACUAUCUACUAUUGACUUAAAACUUCUGUAGUAUUCAAAAAUAAUAGCUAUACUAUCUCACAUUAUAUUUUUACAGUAAACCAAACAAUUCUCAUUAAAACCUUAAAUACAAAUAUACAAAGUAUAUUUGUAAACACAAAUAUACAAAGUAGGUGAUGAAAUCCUUCUAACAUCAGGGGCAUGUGCUCUAUGCCUACUAAGUAUAGAAUACGGAGCUAAGAGUGUCAAAAUUCAUGAAUUUACCACCAACUCUAUUCUGGAGUUCUAAAACACAGUAACUUAUUAUAAGGAGUUCAAUUAAAUUUGGGCAAUUGUAUCAAUUUUUAAGAUAUGUAAUAUUUCUGUGGAUAUUUUACAUUGAUCAUUCUUUCAAGAAUUUUGUAGAGUAAUACAUUUGAAAAUAAAAUUAAAAUACAA